GUCUCGUUCUUGUUGAUCCUAUUAGUGGAUGGAGCUGAUAUAUCAGUUGGUCCUACUUCUGUUACUGUUCCUAUUUAUGAGACAGCAAGUUUUACUUGUGAAGGAACUGGCAAUGAACUGAAUUGGCUAGUUGGGGGGUUUACACUAACAGAAUCAGUUAAACAACAAAGAAACAUAUCUUUUACUGAUCCUGGUAGUGGUCCUGGUAACUUAUCAUCAGUACUUACUAUCAGUGGGUUACCUGUUAAUGAUGGAUUACAAAUUGGUUGUCAAAUAAUAUCAUAUCAACCUUUUAAACAAGUGUUCUCUGGUGGUACACUAACAAUAAGAGGAAUAUCACCAGUUGAAGACAUACAAUGGUCUAAUGAUGAUCAGUUCCUGUCAUGGUCUCCUCCUUCUUUCUAUUCUAAUGAUAUACC